rnacentral:rRNA from 1 species
AGCGAACGCUGGCGGCAGGCUUAACACAUGCAAGUCGAGCGGGCACCUUCGGGUGUCAGCGGCGGACGGGUGAGUAACGCGUGGGAACGUGCCCUCUGGUUCGGAAUAACUCAGGGAAACUUGAGCUAAUACCGGAUACGCCCUUUUGGGGAAAGGCUUGCUGCCGGAGGAUCGGCCCGCGUCUGAUUAGCUAGUUGGUGAGGUAACGGCUCACCAAGGCGACGAUCAGUAGCUGGUCUGAGAGGAUGAUCAGCCACACUGGGACUGAGACACGGCCCAGACUCCUACGGGAGGCAGCAGUGGGGAAUAUUGGACAAUGGGCGCAAGCCUGAUCCAGCCAUGCCGCGUGAGUGAUGAAGGCCUUAGGGUUGUAAAGCUCUUUUAUCCGGGACGAUAAUGACGGUACCGGAGGAAUAAGCCCCGGCUAACUUCGUG